rnacentral:tRNA from 1 species
GCGGGGGUGCCCGAGUUCGGUCGAAGGGGCCAGACUUAAGAUCUAUUAAAAGAUAGGGCAUCCGGUGGCCAUAGGGCCUUCGAGGGUUCGAACCCCUCCCCCCGCA